UGUAAAAACCUGAACAGGCAGGAACCACAAGGCAAGAGUGGAUUCUUUCUUUCUCUGCUCUGGACAAGUUACGGGUGUGAACACAAAGCCAAAGUGGCGUACUUUCCUGAUAAAGCUGCUCCUGUUCACAGGUCAUUUUUUUGAGGUCGAGCAACAGCAGGAGACCCCUUCACCUGUAACAGGAUCCACAUUUCACCCUGCUGCAGUUUGGCAGAUGGCUCUAAAUACUACAACACCCAUGUGCCUUGGCUCCGACUGGCAUGAAGAGAAGUGUGAACUUUAUUGUGAGCUUUAGCAAAGCCGGGACACUGGGUCGUACCUCUCCACAUACCACUCCUCAUCCACAUGAUGAAGGAUCCUUGGAUGAGACACUGAAGCACAGAUUGCUUCUGCGGUCAGGAGAUUCUUGCCCAUCCAACCCUUGAAGUGCUCCUCCUGUCAGUAACCCAAAGCCAGGAUGCAUCAAGCAAGAACACACACACAGCUCUUUAAAGUUUAAAACCUAAUUAAUGCAUCAGUGAUUCAGAAAAUCUGCAGUCAGGCUCACAUCACAACAAGGUAAACGAUCUUUGGCAGAAUAAAUUGACUUCACUUUAGUGUAUUUAGAAUUUUCUUGAAUCAGCAUCUAGUUGACAUUAGAGGAACUGCAGCUGAACAAACUUGAGUUCUAACUCAGAUGGGGAGGAUUCUGGUUUGUUAAACCUGACCAAAAGGAAUAGAAGAAAUGCAUUCUCUGAAAUGUAUACAAUAGAUUUUAUUUUGCAACUUUCUUAUUUCAUCUAUCUCUCUCCGCUUUCCUCCUCCACUUCCUCUUCACUUUCCUUCUAUUCUGACUACUCUAUUCUAUUUCUCUCGACCUUGCUUCUCCACUUUCUCCAUCUGUCUCAUAUUCACCAACACUCACAGGCAGGCUUCUUGCUUUCAGUUUAACCAGAUAAGAAUCAGAACUGGACUCUAUUUUUAUAAAGACACAUAAACAGAAAGCAGAGUGAGCCAUUGAUGAAAUCUGUACUGCUGUACUGUACUGCAGUCUGUAUAUCUGUCAACAUGGAACCAUCUGGAUUAACAGACAGAACCCAAACUUAAUCCUUCACUUACAUACAAUAUUUCACAUUUACAAACACUUCAGUUUGUCCAGCCUGUAAUGGUUGCUUCUAAGGCUCACAUCACAACAUGAUGUAGUAAUAACCCUUCCAGUGUUAUUUGUUGAAGCACCCUUGUGUGCAGUGGAAUAAACAGGAGAUUCGGGUUUGAAUCCUCUGCAUGGCCAAAUGUUAAAGUUGGUUUGACUUUAACUUGCAUUACCAAACCAAAGCAUGAUCUUUUCUUAAAAUCAUCCAAGUAGGUUUUCUUCCUAACAAACUAACAAAACUAUGACCAUUUCACAACAUUAACGGCCCAGAAGUCAUAAUAUUUGAUAAUAUGAGAAAUGUUUCUCAGCAAGUUUUAUUUUGAAAGGCUAACAGACCAUUGCAUAUUUAUUAUUGUUAACUUGACAUUGGAUGAUAUGAUGAUGAUGGAGGUUCUUCAUGAGUUGUGUCACACUGAGACCGAUGUUCACAGUGUUGUCCUCCAGCGCUGCUCUUCUUUGUUGUCAUGACAACACAGCUGUCCAGGAUCACGGUGCAGCAGGGAGAAGUUUUGAACAAAGUUAAAUCAUCAACAUGCAAUAUUUCAGGUAACAUAUUGAAAUACAAAGCUCAAACAUGAAAAAAAUAAAUUGAGAAUAUAAAAAUAUUUCAAUAAAUUUCAGCAACUGACCUACCUGUGAUUGUAGCACACUCACUUGUUUUUAACCCAGUUGGGCAAUUCUGAAAAAGCAGGACCUCAAAUGUCAGUAUGUGAAUUCCACACUGUGUGCUAAAGGUGACAGAAACUAAGCUUUGUUUGAAUUGCUGCAUCUGUCAUACAUGCAUAUAGGAUUUUGUUGUAGAAGUAUUUAUAGUUGUCACAGACAAAACUUUGACUUCCUCUUUUGAAACUGAAUGAAGGUCAUUUUUAAGAAAAAAAGGAUAAGGUGAAUCUUCACUUCCUGUCACACAUAUGCUAAGGACAUUUGACGUUUUUUAGAUUUAGCCAGUUUGUUGGUGAUGUAGAUUCAAUCUUACUUUGUCGCUUCUUUGAUAUUGAGUGUGCGAUGAAAAAGUGGGGUAUGUUUAUAUCGUGGCUCUUUGGGUCUUCAGCCGCAUCUGCAGUACAGAGUUAAAAUUUUACUUCAUUGCUAAAUACUGAUAUUGAGAUACACAUUUUGUCUUUUGUUUCAUUCAAAUGAUAAGAUAUUAUAAUAUAUAUAACUAUAAUUUGUUAUACUAUUAGCAUUAAAAUACCAGUACUUUAAAGUUCAGUAAUCAUAUCAAAAUAAGAUUGUUUGUGAUAAAAUACUAAAUCUUCUAUAAAGCCAAAGUUCUCAAAUGUCAAAUUUUGUCUAAAUUCAACUUUAGACAGAACUCUGGAAAAAUUAUCUUUUAAAAUUUAUACAAUAAAAUAGUAAAUAAAUCAGAUAAAUUGAUGAGGACAUUUGAUGUCAACUUUCAUUUGGAACAGAGAGCACUGAGCUAUAAUACCCAAACCUAUUAAUAUGAAAAGAAGAACAACUCAACUCACUGUCACUAACACACACUAGCACAGACAACAAAAGUUGUAUGCUCUUAUUAUCAGGUUUAAGUCUUCUUUGUUCCUUCUGAACAAACAGCUGAUGAAAUCCAUCAUGUAUUUAGCAGCUGAACAGUCUGGCUCCUCUACUGAGUAUCAGCUAAUGAAACCUCUCUGCUGCCUCCUCCUGCUCCAUUUACAUGUUUGUUUUGGUUUCUGUUGUUGUUCUGAUGUUUUUUAGAUUUAACCAGUUUAUUGUAGAUGUAGACUCAGUCUUACUUCGCGGCCUCACUACUCCUGAGGGUCCGAUGAUCCUGUGGUGUAGGUUUAUACCUUGGCUCUUUGGGUCUUCAGCCACAUCUGCAGUACAGAGUUAAAAUUUUACUUCAUUGCUAAAUACUAACAUUGAGAUACACCUUCUUCUUUAUUUACCCUGUGUCAGACUUGAAGUCUGUGCGACGGUGCUCAGUAAGAGUAAGAAGAUCACAGUCUUCAUGGUUCUGCAAGAUAAGAAGCAUACAAACACCAAACACCAUGGAUGGCUGAGCUGGUACAGUACAGAGAGCAGACAGAGUUAGUCUUAUUGCUUAGAGUAACUUAAAUAGAAGACAACAUUGUAAGAUUACACAGUUGUUUCAGCUGAUAUCACUGUGAUUUGAUAUUAAUAUUUAGGUAGGAUAGAGUUUUAAUGGUACUGAGAGCCCAGCGUCAUUCCAAGAGUGUCAAAUACCAGCUUCUCAACAUCUCUCAGCAUUUCAUUCAUCUUUUCCCACACCUAACCAUUCUGUGCCUUAACUUAACCAAAAUAGCUUUUCAUGUGAAGCACCAGUCCAGGGUGUACCCCGCCUCUCGCCCAUAGUCAGCUGGGAUAGGCUCCAGCUCCCCCGCGACCCUGACGGAUAAGCGGUAUAGAAAAUGGAUGGAUGGAUGUCAAGCACAUGCUAAGCCUUUCCGCGUCAGCUACAGAAGUCAUAGGACAUCUUGCGUGUCUGGUUGUAAUGCACAAGGAAGUGAUAGAAUGUAGAUAUUCAGUGAGCUGUGUUGGGAACGUGUUGGUAUUGACAUGCGCAAUUGAUCUGGCAUAUGUGUAAGGUCUGCUCUGCUGCCACACACAGUACAACAGAUGGUUGAUAUGCACUCAGAAAGUCAAUUUUACAGUAUCAUCAGUUAUGUUCACAGAUUCUCAGAUUCUCUCAUCAAGAAGAAUAAGUUCAAUUUAAGUCUAUACUGUCUCUUGCAACUUGUUUUCUACACUAAAAACACACCAAUGCUAAAUGAGCAGUUGAGCUGAGUUGAGAGUACAGAGGGCAGGAGUAGAGAAUGAUGUCUUAACUCACCUUCAGUAGCUGCACUCUGCUUCUCUGACCUGAAUGUCUCACACCAAUCUAGCUGCUCUUUAUUUAUAUUAUUCUGAUCAUUGAAAUGCCAAUGUGUGUGUGUGAGUGUGUGCGUGUGUGUGUGUUAUUAAGGAUAGUCUCAGGUGAAAUUCCUUAGGCUAUAAGGAUCACACAUGCUUAAUAGUUAAUUGAAUAAUUGCUGUUUAAUAUGUGAUUAAGAGUUGGAAAAUAAAUUAAAUUCUUCCUUCUCACUGUU